rnacentral:rRNA from 1 species
AUUGAACGCUGGCGGCAUGCCUUACACAUGCAAGUCGAACGGCAGCACGGGUGCUUGCACCUGGUGGCGAGUGGCGAACGGGUGAGUAAUACAUCGGAACAUGUCCUGUAGUGGGGGAUAGCCCGGCGAAAGCCGGAUUAAUACCGCAUACGAUCCACGGAUGAAAGCGGGGGACCUUCGGGCCUCGCGCUAUAGGGUUGGCCGAUGGCUGAUUAGCUAGUUGGUGGGGUAAAGGCCUACCAAGGCGACGAUCAGUAGCUGGUCUGAGAGGACGACCAGCCACACUGGGACUGAGACACGGCCCAGACUCCUACGGGAGGCAGCAGUGGGGAAUUUUGGACAAUGGGCGAAAGCCUGUUCCAGCAAUGCCGCGUGUGUGAAGAAGGCCUUCGGGUUGUAAAGCACUUUUGUCCGGAAAGAAAUCCUUGACUCUAAUACAGUCGGGGGAUGACGGUACCGGAAGAAUAAGCACCGGCUAACUACGUG